ensembl:lncRNA
GUGAGAAUUGCUGGCAAACUGUACUGAUAGGAAGUUCAAGUGACCACCAUUAAACCUGCAAGCUGGCUCUGUUUUAAGUUCAUUUGCAUCCGAGAAAGGCAUGGCCGCUAAUUACUUCGGAAACCGGAUUGAUCCACUUUUGGUCAUUUUACUGUGAAGCAUUGAGCAAGUGUGGCUGGAAUUCAGGAUGGCCCGGUCCUAGAAGUCCACCUGCACACGAGCUCACCCCGGUGCAAGCCGGGCUCCAACCUAAUCCAUAGAGGCUCUACGUUGCUCUCAGUGAGCCACAUUACCGGGAUGGCAUGCAAGAAUCAAGGGGCCAGAGUCAAGAGCUGCGUUCCAUUGUAAUUCUCCAGCGGUCAUGGAUAGCUGGAGCCUUUGAAAUGGACACAGAUGAUUUAUGGGCAGAAAGCAUUGAGAGGAUAAAGUCUCAGGAAUGAAAAUCCAAGAGGAGAAAUAAAUGGGGAAUGCAUCCCAGGGAGAGGAAUAAUAUUUACUAGAGUAUGUUUGUUUCAAGGCGGAUUCCUAAGUUUUACUGCUUAGAGUGGUAAUCUUUGUGAGAAAUUUCAGGCCAGAAGAGAGGACUUGAGAAGCCAGUCUGGGAACUCCUUUAGGUCAGGGAUCAUGGUCUUAGCUCCGAGUCGCAAUGCUCUGUGCAGUGACUGGUACAUGACAGGUGCCAAAUUCAUGUACGCUGAGUUGAACUAUAGACCUUUCUACAGCGUCUCUGCUUCCAAGUAUAGGCUUCAGCUGGGCAGAGGGGCUGUGGGUCCUACCUGGGUGUCAUUCUUCAGUGCACCGAGGAUUCCUGACCGCAGCGUCUGGCUAAGGGGCUGAGACAGGAGCAGGACGGUGAAGAUGGCUGCGAAAGCAGGGGAUUUCUGCUCCAAGCGCUCCCUGUCCUCCAUCGAAUGAUGCAGGGUUCGCACGGAUCCUUUCUACUCUGCUCUCAAGGGAUGCGAAAGAUUCGGAUGUCAGCUUUCCUCCCGAAGGCUUUCAGAAUCAGACUGAUUGCUCUGUCUCGGCCAGUACCUUCCAGAUUCUCUCAGAGGGACCUCCUGAUGGUGUUCAGAUGGAAGGUGUCAGUGUUUCACAGCAAAUGCAAUAUAUACUGUGCUCCCAUGGAACCAAGCCAUGUGCAGUUCUGAACCCCAUUACGUUCUUUGGGCCUCGAGGCAUGAUGUGUCAUCGUCUAGAAUACGCCUCCAGCCUCUUGCCAUGCCCUUUCUCCAUGUCAGCCUUGUCAACAUCUACUCAGUGUUCACGAUCCAGCUGAAGCAUCCCGGCUUCUGAGAACUUCUCCUCUCUCCCUUUCCCAUCCAUGCACCCGACCCAGUUAUUCACACCCUUUUCUGGGACAGCAGUUUCCACCUGACUCUACUCUGGGAUCUAUCAUAGGGCGCCGGAAUUUUCGCUGUCUACCCUUUUGUUCUUCACCCGUGUCUCGUUCAGGUUUAGGUUCCCUGCACCUUACGCUCAACUUCCUGUUAACUCCAUGGCUUUGGAGACAUUAGAUAACCUCCCCCGCCCCCCCUCCCCCCGCCAGCUUCAGGGGCCCACUUCACAGAUUGUUAUGAGGGGUUAACACGAUACCUACAGCACAAUGCCUGGCACAGUGUAACUAUCUAAUAAACGGCGCUGUCUGUUGAUGUUAUCUAUUAGC